rnacentral:rRNA from 1 species
UACGUAGGUGGCAAGCGUUGUCCGGAUUUAUUGGGUUUAAAGGGCGCGUAGGCGGUCUAUUAAGUCAGCGGUGAAAUACUCCAGCUUAACUGGAGGGGUGCCAUUGAUACUGAUGGACUUGAGUCAAGUCGAGGUAGGCGGAAUUGACGGUGUAGCGGUGAAAUGCUUAGAUAUCGGCAAGAACACCAAUAGUGAAGACAGCUUACUGGGCUUAAACUGACGCUGAGGCGCGAAAGUGUGGGGAUCAAACAGG